CGUACGCACGCACUUGCCACAAGGAGACGCUGUUCAGUUUACCGGAUCCUGUCCCGCGCCAGCCAACCAGGACAAGGCCGGGGAGCUCGAGACAGGCAGCCUAGACCAAGAACCGGAAGGAGGAAAAGGAACCGGAGGGAGGAAGAGGAGGGGCGGGACGAGACCACCAGGCAGGAUUUUUAAGCCCAGAGCUGCGAGACCAGCAGGAAGGAACUGGGAGAAACCAAUGGGGAGGGGAUGGGGGCGGGGCUGAGAGGAGGAGGGCGGAGCUGGGGGAGGGGAAGGGCGGGAGUGAGGAAACCGCUGGGGCGGGGUUGAGAGUGGGGCGGGGACUUGAGGGGAUGGGGCGGGGACUUGGGAUGGGGCGGGGACUCGAGGGGGUGGGGCGGGGCUGAGAGAAACCAUUGGGGGCGGGGCUAUGGGCGAUCUGGGCGAGGAGAGGCUGCAGGAGGAGCUCGCGGACUCCUGAGAACCAGCGCGGGGAGGGAGGGGGCUGGUGAGAGGAGGAAGGUGGGGCUGAAAGAAACCAGUGGGGAGGGGUUGGGGGCGGGGCUUUGGAAGCUGGUGCUGGAGAAGCAGGGCAGGGCUGGGGGAGGAGUGGGGCGGGGCGGGGUUCGGGGGGGGCUGGGGCUCGGGGAGGGGUGGGGCGGGGCUGAGGGAACCGCCGGGGAGGGGCUCGGGGGCGGGGCUUUGAAAACAGCCUUUGGAGAAGCGGGGCUGGGGGGGCGGGGCAGGGCCGAGGGGAACCUCUGGGGUGGGGCUGGGGGGUGGGGUUUGCACGCAGCCACAGGAGAAACAGGGCGGGGCUCAGAAAAGGGUUGGAUCGGGCUGAGAGAGACCGCUGAGGGGGGUGCUGGGGGCGGGGCUUUGGAAGCACCCGCGGGAGAAACAGGGAGGAGAUGGGGAGAGGCGGGGCUCGGCGCGGGGCGGGGCUUCGGAGGCAGCCGCGGGAGAAGCAGGGGGGGGUUCGGGGCAGGGCGGGUCUGAGCGAAGCCAUUGGGGAGCGGCUGGGGGCGGGGCCUUUUAACCAGCCGCAGGAGGAGCCGGGUGGGGCUGGGGCGGGGCGGAGCUGAGAGAAACCGCUGAGGAUGGGCUGGGGGCGGGGCCUUGGAAGCAGGCGUUGGAGGGGCGGGGUAGGGCCGGGCCGAGAGAAACCACUGGGGAGGGUCUGGGGUCGGGGCUUUGCCAUCAGUGGUGUGAGGAGCAGGCCGGGGCAGUGGGCAAUUGAGCGAGGAACAGCUGCGGGAGGACUCCGCGGACUCCUGAGAACCAGCUUAGGGGAGCGGCGGCUUGGGGAGGUGUAGGGUGGAAUCACGAGAAAGCUCUGUGGGAGGGCCUGGUGCACAGCUCAGCUGCAGGGUGGAGCUGAGGGAAAGCCGGGCGUUCCUGGAGGAGGAGCAGGGCGAGGCUGUGGCAAAGCGCUGUGGGAGCAGAUGGGGCGGGGCUGCGGGAAAGAGCUGGAGAAGGAGGAGCCAAGCUGCACCAAGGCUGGCGGGUGAGAAUUGCGGGGGAGGAGCUAGUGCAGAGCUGGAGGAAAGAGCUGAAAGGUUGUUGGGGUGGGCAGAGGGGUAGGAGAAGCGAGACGGGGCUAGAGGAGGCGGAGCUGGGAGCGGUGAUGAAGGGGUAGCAGGGCGGGGCAGUGGGAAAGAGCUGUGGGAGGAGGAGCUGGGGGUAAGAAGCUGGGGCUGUGGCUGCAGCGGGGACUGGGUCAGAGCUUCUGGAGGAGCCGCCUGCAAGAGGAGGGCGUAGUUGUGGGAAAGAGCUGUGGGCGGAAAUGGUUAAGUGCCGGGUGGAGCAGGGGCUGGCGUCGGAAUAGCUGGGGCGGAGCUGCGGGAGGAGGAGCUGGGGGGCGGAACUGUGGGAGGAACAGCUGGGGCGGAGCUGAGGGAGGAGGAGCAGGGGGGCAGAACAGCUGGGGUGGAGCUGUGGGCGGAGCUGCAAGAGGAGAAGUUGGGGACGGACUUGCAGGAGGAAAAGCUAGGGGUGGAGCUGUGGGUGGAGUUGGGGGAGGGAGCUGAGGCCCUUCUGUGAUGCACCCUUAGGCAAGAGUCCAAACUUUCCCGCGGCGACCUAACUGCACCUCCAGUGUCUUCCCCCAGAGGGCACAGAAGCAGCAAGAAGGGCGGGAACACUUGACUGGGGUCCAUGCAGCUCUAGGCUGAGUCUUGCAGGGCUGAGCCCCCCAGGCCUGCUCUCCUGUGUCCUGGCCGCUCCGUCAGUGCCUGCCAGUGGGGUCCAGAGGGACCGUUUUUUUAACGCCUCUUUUGCAGUCUCCCGCAUUGACUUCAUAACCAAGUUCUGGGUCCCUGCCUCUGGAGUGCCUGAUGAGACAAAACGGCUCCUCGUCCUGCAUCCCCGCUGCUACUUCCAGAAUUCAGGCCUCGUGGUCUGGAGCCUGCACUGUUCCAUGAGCCUCCUGAGCAACCUGGAGUCCUCUGUCUUUCUUCCCUCAGUGAGAUGCGCCUACUUCUCCCUGGAGAAGCUUGAGGAAGCAGAAAUGCUGGAGAUGAGCUGCUCCUCACUCUCACUCCUGGGUGUGCUGGGCAGUGGGGUGCAAUGUGCACGUAGGUGCACACUCUCCCUGGGCGGCAGCGAGCAGCAGAGGUCUGAUCUGUGGUCGGAUGACGAGAGGAAGUGCAAGUAAAGCAGCUGCAGCGAGACCUCGUCCGCACAGGGGCUUGUUCUUCUGUGUCUUUGCAGGGCUGUUUUGGACUCAGUAUUCACCUAAGCACUCCAAAUUACCCAGCACACCCUGCCUGCAUGGCGCUGCGCUGCACCUUCACUCUGGUCACGGGUCUGGCAGUCAGCUCACCAAUUCCUCCUGCUUCCCUGGGACUUGCCGGCUUUUAGCACUGCAAUUCACUCAGCAAACUGGGACUGUUGGUCACCCUACCUGGCAGCCAGUGAUAAGGUGAGGGCCACUCCUGGGAGGGAGGACACCUGUGGGGAAAAUUCUUGUGUUAUUUAUUUCUCCUUCGGGAUAGGGUGCCUGCAGCGCUUCAUGGGAGGGGGUGGGCUGAUGCUGCGGGCUCAGAAGUUUCAAGGGCAUCUGGGGAGACCAGAUAUUCAGAGACCUUCUAGAUGUGCCUGUUCCAUGUAUCAGGGACGCAGGUUUUCCCAACAGGGCUGGUGUCAUUGGCAUGACAGACCUGCCUUGGCUGAGCGUUCACCUGUCUUUGGAGUUCAGCCACCUUAGCAAGUCCUGGGUUUGUUCUUCAGACUUUGCUGCUCGCCCAUUGCCUGGAUCGGGGGCUACUUUGUAAACCACCAGGAAGACUCCAGUGUUUCUGGUUAAUUUUUAGAUGUUUGUUAAUUGCUCUUGGUCUCUCAUUAAUCCCCUGUGGGUCAUCCAGGAAACAUACUCACCACUGUCUGUUCUCUGAGUUUUCAUUUCCAGGCAUCCGCCCUGCCUGGAUCUCCUCACCUGCCAGGAACUUCCUCUCCACAAGCCGGCCAUCCCAGCAAAAGUUCUAACACCAAAGGUCUGGCAACUAGCCUGCCAUCUUGUGCCUGGAGCCGCCUGCGUGCCACCUACUCCCGAAGAUGGGAACCUUGUUGCCAGUUGGGCAGAUGCGGGGCAAUCCUGUACCAAGACCCCAUUUUACCACCUGCUUUCUCAGACCACUCUGGAACCCACUGUCUCAGAUUGUGUCCUCCAGGAAGCAGACCAUGAGAGGGAGUUGGCAGGGCCAAAGAUUUACUGGGGCUAACUAACACUCAGGAAAGGGAUAGGAAGGAAACAGGGCUGGAGAGCAGGUUGAGCCCGACCUGACAGUCUCGAGCAGCCCAACAGGGAGGUGUGGAGCAAGGGUUGCCCACUAGAGGGGCCUGCAUUGGGUACGGGUGAUGGGGUCCACAUGGUACCUGGCAUAUAGCAGGCUGUGCAAUCCAUAUUAACUGACUGGAUAAAUUAAUGCCCAGAAAAGGUGCCCUGGAGAAUGGGUGUGUGCUGAACACAAUAGGGAAGGGCCCAGCAUCUGCCUUGGCAUAGGCAGAACUGUGCUGUGCCCUGCAACAGGCCACCUGAGAGCUGCUUUGAUCUUGUGUGUACAUUAGAUGACUGCCAGGGGCAUGAAGGGGAUGUGCUUCCAGGGCAUUUGCUGGCAGGGCGUCUCGUGAUCUCUUGGUAUUGGUGUGAGCACAGCCUGGCAGGAGAGGGCAGAUCUCCAUGCAAAGUAUGUCAGAAAGCAGAUGGAAGCCAGGCCCCCUCCUGAAAGAGGCUCCUUGAAGGCUCCUGGGACCACAUUAUCAUUCUCUUCACUCGAGAGAUGAGGACACUGAAAUUCAGAGAGGGGAAGUGAUUUGCCUCAGCUUGUACUAAAGAAACAUUUCAACAGAGAACCCAGUGGAAAUUAUGACAUGUUAUCUUCUCAGAGUCCUGAACUCCCAUCCCUACCUCAGAAGAGACUCCUCUGUUCACAGAAGCUAAAGGCAGUUCCUUCCCAAUGGCAACUAUGUUUGGAUGUUGGAUCUACACUUUCUCAAGCACUGUGAUCUUCAAAUCAAAGGAGAUUUCUCCCAUUAUAUACUUCUUAUGAUCAACAAAUUCCAUCAUCUCCCCACUAAGAGAAAGUACUCCAAGAUGAUAGAAUGAUUUUAAAGUUAUGGGACUACAACAGCAGCCACAGGAACCUUGAGUAAGUACCAUGAACCCUGACCCUCAGCGUUAAUUUGUAAGCCUUUGGCAGUGAGAUGGAAUGUCUUCCUUCAGUUUGAAACAAAGGAAACCUAUUGCAUCGCACGUAAAUUUGUAUAUUGAUGCUAUAUUGACUUUGUAGCUGCCAUGCCUUCAUACAGACACCUCAUCCAGCCCCCACUGUUCCACUUAUUGUGAUGGUUUGUAUAUCUUUAUUUCAAAGAAGAUCUGUUUGAACCGUGUUUAAUUUCUUCUUUGACCUGCUUUCAUCACUGCCCAUGCCUACCCUGGUGGCAUUCUCAUCCACGAGACUACCACAUCCAUGCCACUAGGUGGCAUUCUCAUCCAUGAGACUACUGCACCCGUGCGCACGUCAAGAAGUAGCCAAGCCAUGGGCUGGAUUGUGCUUUUCCUGAGAGGAUGAAAGGCUUCAUGGAUACAUGCUAGUAUCCAUGUUCCUCUAUUCUCAAGUCAGGCACCAAGAUGAUGUUUCAUACCUGCCUGCCUUUCAAAGUCUCAUAAAUGUUCAUUGAAUAUCCACUCUAUGCAAGGCACUAGGGUAGUCACAGAGGCAAGGUUUGAGCUAAACUACAGGCCCUGCCCUCCAGGAGCUCCCGGUCUCAUGGCAGGGUGCAGAAGCCAGAAUAGAGGGCCAUGGCAUGGGAGAGAACUCUGCUGACCGGGAGCUCUGAAGGGUUAGGGGUCCAUGAGCCUGAUUUAUGGGGUCGUUGCCAUAGGAUUAGGGGCUCCCUGGCAUACAGUGAAUGGAGAGACUAGCAUUGCUGUGUUAUUUCACUGAGAGGGCACCAAUGUUCAGCCUCUGAGACCAGGGGAGGAAAGCAGUGGCCAUGAAUGUUCCCUCCCAUCCCGGGGACUGACUGGGCUCCUCCCACAGUCUCAGACACAGAGGAAGAAGUGUACUCACACUGCCCCAACACCAGUGAGUGGAAAUAUUUAUAGGUCUCUCAUUUGGUUUUAAUUUUUAUUUUUUUAUUUUUCAGAAAUUAAAAAAAAAAUCACACUCACAAAAUUAACCAUUACCCACAUUCCUACCAACAAGAAGUAACCAUUCUUAACCUUGUAAUAUGUUGGUUUCCAGAUUUAUGUUUAUGCUUUAAAAAAUUAUGCAGACAACAUAUUAGCACAUUGCCCCUUUUCUCAUUUGUUUUAAUCCAUGUUCUUCCCAUUUAUACAGGAGCAAUUCUUGCAUUCAGUUAUGGGAUACUAUAAAUGCCUAGUAUAAUGGCAGCAGAGAGAAUUACUAUGGUUGUAUACCUUUUCUCGCUCCUUGCUCCUCAAAUGCCUUAGAGUUUAAAAUCUAUUGUGGAAAGUUUGUGAAAUGCAGAACGGUGAAAAUAAACAAAUUACCAGUGGUUCUUUGGCUUCGGGAGAACUGUAAUUGAUGUUCAUUUUGGUAUAUUUCCCUCCAGUAUUUUUUCCAUAUGGUUUUAUUUUUAAAAAUUUU
rnacentral:lncRNA from 1 species